GAUGAACGCUGGCGGCGUGCCUAAUACAUGCAAGUCGAGCGAACAGACGAGGAGCUUGCUCCUCUGACGUUAGCGGCGGACGGGUGAGUAACACGUGGAUAACCUACCUAUAAGACUGGGAUAACUUCGUGAAACCGGAGCUAAUACCGGAUAAUAUAUUGAUCCGCAUGGUUCAAUAGUGAAAGACGGUUUUGCUGUCACUUAUAGAUGGAUCCGCGCCGCAUUAGCUAGUUGGUAAGGUAACGGCUUACCAAGGCAACGAUGCGUAGCCGACCUGAGAGGGUGAUCGGCCACACUGGAAGUGAGACACGGUCCAGACUCCUACGGGAGGCAGCAGUAGGGACUCUUCCGCAAUGGGCGAGAGCCGGACGGAGCAACGCCGCGUGAGUGAUGAAGGUCUUCGGAUCGUAAAACUCUGUUAUUAGGGAAGAACAAAUGUGUAAGUAACUAUGCACGUCUUGACGGUACCUAAUCAGAAAGCAACGGCUAACUACGUG
rnacentral:rRNA from 1 species